UACUAUCUAUUUGUAGAAAAUACAACCUGUGAUAAAAUGCUUGCCUAGGGAGUGGGAUAGAGUGGUCCAGGCUCUUCGCAGCUUGCAGUGAUUUAAACCCAUUUUUGCUGUCCAGAGAAACAGGCAAUCAUGAGAAGGGGAGAAAAAAGCAGUGUGCCCUGCUCUCCCAGCCCUGGAAUUUUGGGUGGGUGCUCUGCAAAGGGUCCCCCAAGGCUGUAGGUGAUGUACCCCAUGAGAAGCACUCCCUAAGGAGGGGGUGAGGCUGGGAGCAGGGCAAAGUGGCUGCCCCACAGCACGUGUAGUUCUGCUUUGGGGUGAGCUGGGAUAACAUUGCAUUACCUGCCUUGGGGAGGUGUUGCUCUAACCCUGGGGAGGCUCAGAACCUGACUUCUUCCCUUGUCUGCCCCUACUUUGAUUAAAACUUGCCUUUUUUCUUGCAGUGGAAUCUAGAGCUGUGAGCAGUUGUCAUUUUCACCAGAGGGAGAAGAAGCAUUCCCUGCCCCAAAGUGUCCAGGGGGUUUAUGGUUCAAUUUCUGCAGGCAUCCAGGAAUUAAUGUCACCUCUACAGGCCUAUAAAAUGCUGCUACAGAAGUCACUUUUUUCCCUACCGAGUGAAUAAAUUACAAGUCCUGGAGCAGCGCUUGGUGUGCUGUAACUCUUGGCUAUAACAUCUAUGAGAUAUGUUUAAACUGAAUGAUCCAUGCUCAGAGGAGUGAUGGUUUCUUUUCUAGCCCUCUUGUUAUUGCAGACAGUACCAUUGAAAUAGACCAUGAAGACAAAGGUAAGUUCACCAUAUUCUCAUCUUUCCUGGAGUUGCAGUUGUACUUUUUUCUCUGCUGUGGGACACCUCACACAUUCAGGACUAGCUAAGUCUUGUUUUGUGUGUUUUUUUUUUUUUUCCUCUAGUCUAUAUUUUGAAUUAUAAAACUAUGAUAAUUUCUAGAAAAGUUCAUACUCUCUUUGAAGCAAAUAAAACCUUCAAACUCAUAUGUAACCUACACGUAUAAAAACCACUUUGAAAUAUGUUAUUAUUCCUUCCAGUGGUUUUUUCUCCUUCUGCACAGAAAAUGUUUUUCCACUUCCAGGCAGACUCUUCUAUUCCUACCUACCUCUUAUAUACUCAGUCACCUUGUAAACGCAGAGCAUUAUUGUACAGAAGAAGCUUUUUCACAGACUCCAUGACUUUGACAAUUACACUUAUUGUAAUUUUUUCAUCUCUCCUGUCCUUCUUGACAGAUCCUGCAAGAUUAUUUUAUCCAUUAUGUGACCUUCUUACUUGACAUUCCUUUGCCAUUGCUCUGAAUCCAGGCACAAAGAGCUGAAGAAGGCUGGGAUGUAGAGGAAGGGGGAGGCCAGGAUUGCUACCCAGAGCAGGUGUGCCUGGGCAGGUCUGGGCUCUAACACUGCAAAGAGAAUUGCACAGCAUAUUAUUUAAAUGCUAAAGAAUCACACACGUGCUCACACCCUCCUCAUGGGUUAAACUCUCUUUCAUUCAUAGUAGCAAGGUGAAAUAUAACCCUUCCUUCUAUUCAUCCUGGAAGAUGUGGUUUAAAAUCCCCUCUCUCAAUACCCCCAGCCCCCAUUCCAGACUUUACUGGGUUUCUACUUGUGAGUAGUAUGCUUUACAAUUUUACUGUUUUCAUGCAUUUAAAUAUAAUGUCUGUCUAGAUACUAAUUUUAUUUUCCUGAUUAAUUUAUUCUCCAGAUUCUCUGGCCUUCAGUCAAUGCACUGAGUGAUUAAAUUAUUAUCCCAGUAAUGAGAUUUGACACAAUCUAUGCCAGUUACCUGUGUGACCUGCUAAGUAGGUUAAUUGGCAACCCUGAAUAAUUAUCACCCACCUCAUCUUUCUGACUGUGAGUCUGACAAUAAAUGAAACAUAAAAUGCUGAAAAUUACACACCAUUUUUAAUUUCAACUUCUGAAUUGUUUCAAAGAAACCUUUUACCUAGUAUCUUAUUAAUAAAAUGCAGCAAUUGAAAAAAAUACCCUGUGAACAUACUGGUUUUAUUUCUACGUAUAUGUUUGCUUUCGUGUUUCAGCGCAGCUUCCUAGAGUAAAAAGAACUCUGUGGCAUAAUAGAUGAACAGGUCCCUAUAUUCUGUAAAUUGCUUAUAUAAGUGAAUUGUUGCAUCCUCAGAUACACUGCUCAAAAGCGAGAAAAUUCAAGAAGUCAAAGUGAUAUUUGUGGUGACAUUGUAAGAAUUAUGUUCUAAUGCUUUUCUGUGAAACCUUGAGAACUAGAAAUUACCUUUAUUGUUUAAUGAAAGCUGUGAUCCUUCUAUUCCCAUUUCCCAGGAAAAAGAAUUAAGAAAAAUAAAUAUGGUACCUGGUGGUGCUGACUUGUAUCGUGUA